ACAUGAUUUGGUCUCAUAUUCUCUCACAUACAAACUCUCUUGUUCUUCAUAACUCUCUUAAUCUUUAAUACAAUUCCGCAUAUUCUUUCAACUUAUGCUUGGCUACCACAAAAAUUUGGGAUCUACACGGCUAAAUCACCUUCAAGGAGCUAACAAUGGCUUUAACUGGACAAAAGAGAAUUGGAAUACUAUGAAGAUCUGGGAAGUGGCUCCACUAAAACAUUCGAUAUUCACUACAUCAAAAACUCCUACUAGGAAGAAGAUUGGCGUUCCAGCUUAGGUAAGUAGCCACUAACCAAUUUAUUUGUUUCAGAAUGUUCACAUGAAUGGCUUGCUUGGACCAUUCAAACUCUUCUCAUUGGACCGGCCAUCGUAGUUAAACAGCAUUAUAGAGAAGUUAUAUGAGAACUGAGAAAUGUAAAGUCAAGGAAUGAGCCAAGAAGCAUAAGAAGAAGAUUCAUCUAAACAUUGUCAAACCAAGGAGAAAGAACAACCAUUACCAUGUCCGUGUAAUCAAUUCAGUACUGCCUUCUGCCCGAAGAACUACAUUACGCGAUUACUCGUGUCACGCACCGGUUUGGUUUCAUUGAUAUUGCAUAACACAACGGAUACAAAUUGAAGAGCUUAACUUAGACAUAAAUAUUAAAACUAAAUAAAAAUUUAUCAAAUUUUUUAGGUGAAAACGAAAUCAGUGGGAUUUUUGUUUUCUUUUGCAUUUUUUUCGAAUUGAUAUGUUGAAACUUUCAAACUGAACUCGUAUAUUUUUUCUAAGGUGGCCACCAUGUCACAUAGCUAGAGAGAAUCCUUCAGUAUAUUUGUUUUUGAAAACUUCGUCAUAUCAAAAUUUUCUGAUACAAACCGCGUGAUUUUAUAUUUUAAUGAUUAAUCUUCAGAGGUGUCAUCAUCGGCUCAAUGUUAGCUGUU